GGUAGAGAGAAGCUUGCUUCUCUUGAGAGCGGCGGACGGGUGAGUAAUGCCUAGGAAUCUGCCUGGUAGUGGGGGAUAACGUUCGGAAACGGACGCUAAUACCGCAUACGUCCUACGGGAGAAAGCAGGGGACCUUCGGGCCUUGCGCUAUCAGAUGAGCCUAGGUCGGAUUAGCUAGUUGGUGGGGUAAUGGCUCACCAAGGCGACGAUCCGUAACUGGUCUGAGAGGAUGAUCAGUCACACUGGAACUGAGACACGGUCCAGACUCCUACGGGAGGCAGCAGUGGGGAAUAUUGGACAAUGGGCGAAAGCCUGAUCCAGCCAUGCCGCGUGUGUGAAGAAGGUCUUCGGAUUGUAAAGCACUUUAAGUUGGGAGGAAGGGUUGUAGAUUAAUACUCUGCAAUUUUGACGUUACCGACAGAAUAAGCACCGGCUAACUCUGUGCCAGCAGCCGCGGUAAUACAGAGGGUGCAAGCGUUAAUCGGAAUUACUGGGCGUAAAGCGCGCGUAGGUGGUUUGUUAAGUUGGAUGUGAAAUCCCCGGGCUCAACCUGGGAACUGCAUUCAAAACUGACUGACUAGAGUAUGGUAGAGGGUGGUGGAAUUUCCUGUGUAGCGGUGAAAUGCGUAGAUAUAGGAAGGAACACCAGUGGCGAAGGCGACCACCUGGACUAAUACUGACACUGAGGUGC
rnacentral:rRNA from 1 species